CCUACGGGAGGCAGCAGUGAGGAAUAUUGGUCAAUGGGCGCGAGCCUGAACCAGCAAAGUAGCGUGAAGGAUGACUGCCCUACGGGUUGUAAACUUCUUUUAUAAAGGAAUAAAGUGAGGCACGUGUGCCUUUUUGUAUGUACUUUAUGAUUAAGGAUCGGCUAACUCCGUGCCAGCAGCCGCGGUAAUACGGAGGAUCCGAGCGUUAUCCGGAUUUAUUGGGGUUAAAGGGAUCGGAGAUGGGUUGUUAAGUCAUUUGUUAAAGUUUGCGGCUCAACCGUAAAAUUGCAAUUGAUACUGGCAGUCUUGAGUACAGUAGAGGUAGGCGGAAUUCGUGGUGUAGCGGUGAAAUGCUUAGAUAUCACGAAGAACUCCGAUUGCGAAGGCAGCUUACUAAACUGCCACUGACAUUGAUGCUCGAAAGUGUGGGUAGCAAACAGGAUUAGAUACCCGUGUAGUC
rnacentral:rRNA from 1 species